rnacentral:miRNA from 1 species
AAUACAGGACUCCAAGUUAAAUUCUAAUUUCAGAUAAACAGUGAAUAAUUUUUAGCAUAAGUACAGCCAAUGCAAUAUUUGGGACAUACUUAUGCUAAAAAAUUACUUGUUGUUCAUUCAAAUUCAAAUUUACUGGGCAACCAGUAUUUU